rnacentral:misc_RNA from 2 species
AUCUCUCACAGAACCGACUUGUUUCAAACUUGCCGGUCUCUGUUGAUGUUGGAGGUUGCGGAAGUCCUGCCGAAAGGCUGGGGAAAUCGCUCCUCUCAAAUGCAUUGGUGCAGCCCGCUGCGCAGUCCAUACAACGUUCUAGGUUCGUCCAACUCGUUGCUCGACUGUUGCAAACCAUUUGGUGCAGCACCUAAAGCCCGCCUCGUGCCUCGUGCUCCUGGCAUAACUUCAUU